rnacentral:rRNA from 1 species
GACGAACGCUGGCGGCAUGCCUAACACAUGCAAGUCGAACGAAGCCUUCGGGCUUAGUGGCGCACGGGUGCGUAACGCGUGGGAAUCUGCCCUUGGGUUCGGAAUAACAGUUAGAAAUGACUGCUAAUACCGGAUGAUGUCUUCGGACCAAAGAUUUAUCGCCCAAGGAUGAGCCCGCGUAGGAUUAGGUAGUUGGUGGGGUAGCGGCCCACCAAGCCGACGAUCCUUAGCUGGUCCGAGAGGAUGAUCAGCCACACUGGGACUGAGACACGGCCCAGACUCCUACGGGAGGCAGCAGUGGGGAAUAUUGGACAAUGGGCGAAAGCCUGAUUCAGCAAUGCCGCGUGACUGAUGAAGUCCUUAGGGUUGUAAAGCUCUUUUACCAGGGAUGAUAAUGACAGUACCUGGAGAAUAAGCUCCGGCUAACUCCGUGCCAGCCGCCGCGGUAAAAC